AACGAACGCUGGCGGCAUGCCUAACACAUGCAAGUCGAACGAGACCUUCGGGUAUAGUGGCGCACGGGUGCGUAACGCGUGGGAACCUGCCCUUAGGUUCGGAAUAACUCCCCGAAAGGGGUGCUAAUACCGGAUAAUGUCUUCGGACCAAAGAUUUAUCGCCUUUGGAUGGGCCCGCGUUGGAUUAGCUAGUUGGUAGGGUAAAAGCCUACCAAGGCGACGAUCCAUAGCUGGUCUGAGAGGAUGAUCAGCCACACUGGGACUGAGACACGGCCCAGACUCCUACGGGAGGCAGCAGUGGGGAAUAUUGGACAAUGGGCGAAAGCCUGAUCCAGCAAUGCCGCGUGAGUGAUGAAGGCCUUAGGGUUGUAAAGCUCUUUUACCCGGGAUGAUAAUGACAGUACCGGGAGAAUAAGCUCCGGCUAACUCCGUG
rnacentral:rRNA from 1 species